GAUGAACGCUGGCUACAGGCUUAACACAUGCAAGUCGAGGGGAAACGACGGGGAAGCUUGCUUCCCCGGGCGUCGACCGGCGCACGGGUGAGUAACGCGUAUCCAACCUGCCUCUGACUGAGGGAUAACCCGUCGAAAGUCGGCCUAAUACCUCAUGGCAUCGUCUGCGGGCAUCCAACGACGAUUAAAGAUUUCAUCGGUCAGGGAUGGGGAUGCGUCUGAUUAGCUAGUUGGCGGGGUAACGGCCCACCAAGGCGACGAUCAGUAGGGGUUCUGAGAGGAAGGUCCCCCACAUUGGAACUGAGACACGGUCCAAACUCCUACGGGAGGCAGCAGUGAGGAAUAUUGGUCAAUGGGCGAGAGCCUGAACCAGCCAAGUAGCGUGCAGGAUGACGGCCCUAUGGGUUGUGAACUGCUUUUAUGCGGGGAUAAAGUGAGGGACGUGUCCUUCAUUGCAGGUACCGCAUGAAUAAGGACCGGCUAAUUCCGUG
rnacentral:rRNA from 1 species